AUUCUUUUGCAAGGAUUGGAGAAAUGAGGAUUGGGAAGACAUUUCAAAGUCUCACAAUACAAAAGGAUAGCAAAUUCAUCAUCUAGUACAAAUAUAAUGUUCUUGUUAACAUAAAUGCCACAAAAAACUAGCUUUGCCCCUAGUUGAAGACUCAUCUCUCUGGAAUGUCAUAUAGCUGAUCUAACGCUGAAAAAAUGCCCCGAUGAGAAGCUAGGUGUGAGUAGCUUCGACUAUUGCUUCUUCUCUUCUGCUUUCUUUGGCUUUAUUCCAAGAAAUGGUUGUUUAAGCUCUUCAUCAGGAAUAAUAACAGGCCAUUUCUCACCAGCUUCACGAAACAUCUGUUCAGUCUCAAGGUACUGACCCUUUUCAAGAAUCAUAGUACGGAUGUUCUGUGCGGGUGUAGAAGUAGCAUCAUAGGUCUGCUCGACUCCAUUGACGAAAGUGACAGAGAUUUGCGGUGGAUGGUCAUCAGUGCGGCGCUUGACCUGAAUUUGGCAACUUGGGUUUGAUUCUUUGGCUUUAGGAGCAUUACAUUGAGCCAAAAACUCCAUACAUGAAGCUAUUCGUGGAUCUAAGGCAUUGAAUUCGAUUUUCACUUUUGACAAGAAUUUCAACAUUUUCUCUUUUGGCUACACUGGUUUCUG
rnacentral:misc_RNA from 1 species